rnacentral:rRNA from 1 species
UACGAAGGGGGCUAGCGUUGCUCGGAAUCACUGGGCGUAAAGGGUGCGUAGGCGGGUCUUUAAGUCAGGGGUGAAAUCCUGGAGCUCAACUCCAGAACUGCCUUUGAUACUGAAGAUCUUGAGUUCGGGAGAGGUGAGUGGAACUGAGAGUGUAGAGGUGAAAUUCGUAGAUAUUCGCAAGAACACCAGUGGCGAAGGCGGCUCACUGGCCCGAUACUGACGCUGAUGCGCGAAAGCGUGGGGAGCAAACAGG